AGAGUUUGAUCCUGGCUCAGGACGAACGCUGGCGGCGUGCCUAAUACAUGCAAGUCGAACGAAGCUUUCUUUCACCGAAUGCUUGCAUUCACCGAAAGAAGCUUAGUGGCGAACGGGUGAGUAACACGUAGGCAACCUGCCCAAAAGAGGGGGAUAACACUUGGAAACAGGUGCUAAUACCGCAUAACCAUGAACACCGCAUGAUGUUCGUGUAAAAGACGGCUUUUGCUGUCACUUUUGGAUGGGCCUGCGGCGUAUUAACUUGUUGGUGGGGUAACGGCCUACCAAGGUGAUGAUACGUAGCCGAACUGAGAGGUUGAUCGGCCACAUUGGGACUGAGACACGGCCCAAACUCCUACGGGAGGCAGCAGUAGGGAAUCUUCCACAAUGGACGAAAGUCUGAUGGAGCAACGCCGCGUGAAUGAAGAAGGCCUUCGGGUCGUAAAAUUCUGUUGUCAGAGAAGAAUGUGCGUGAGAGUAACUGUUCACGUAUUGACGGUAUCUGACCAGAAAGCCACGGCUAACUACGUGCCAGCAGCCGCGGUAAUACGUAGGUGGCAAGCGUUGUCCGGAUUUAUUGGGCGUAAAGGGAACGCAGGCGGUCUUUUAAGUCUGAUGUGAAAGCCUUCGGCUUAACCGAAGUAGUGCAUUGGAAACUGGAAGACUUGAGUGCAGAAGAGGAGAGUGGAACUCCAUGUGUAGCGGUGAAAUGCGUAGAUAUAUGGAAGAACACCAGUGGCGAAAGCGGCUCUCUGGUCUGUAACUGACGCUGAGGUUCGAAAGCGUGGGUAGCAAACAGGAUUAGAUACCCUGGUAGUCCACGCCGUAAACGAUGAGUGCUAAGUGUUGGAGGGUUUCCGCCCUUCAGUGCUGCAGCUAACGCAUUAAGCACUCCGCCUGGGGAGUACGGUCGCAAGACUGAAACUCAAAGGAAUUGACGGGGGCCCGCACAAGCGGUAGAGCAUGUGGUUUAAUUCGAAGCAACGCGAAGAACCUUACCAGGUCUUGACAUCUUCUGACAAUUCCAGAGAUGGAACGUUCCCUUCGGGGACAGAAUGACAGGUGGUGCAUGGUUGUCGUCAGCUCGUGUCGUGAGAUGUUGGGUUAAGUCCCGCAACGAGCGCAACCCUUAUUGUCAGUUGCCAUCAUUAAGUUGGGCACUCUGGCGAGACUGCCGGUGACAAACCGGAGGAAGGUGGGGAUGACGUCAAAUCAUCAUGCCCCUUAUGACCUGGGCUACACACGUGCUACAAUGGACGGUACAACGAGUCGCUAACUCGCGAGGGCAAGCUAAUCUCUUAAAGCCGUUCUCAGUUCGGAUUGCAGGCUGCAACUCGCCUGCAUGAAGUCGGAAUCGCUAGUAAUCGCGAAUCAGCAUGUCGCGGUGAAUACGUUCCCGGGCCUUGUACACACCGCCCGUCACACCAUGAGAGUUUGUAACACCCAAAGUCGGUGGGGUAACCUUUUGGAGCCAGCCGCCUAAGGUGGGACAGAUGAUUGGGGUGAAGUCGGAACAAGGUA
rnacentral:rRNA from 1 species